UGGGGAAUUUUUCGCAAUGGGCGCAAGCCUGGUGACGCAACGCCGCGUGGGGGAUGAAGGUCUUCGGAUCGUAAACCCCUGUCGAAUGGGACGAAAGACUCGCGAGUGAAUACUUCGCGAGAGUGACGGUACCGUUAAAGGAAGCCACGGCUAACUCUGUGCCAGCAGCCGCGGUAAUACAGAGGUGGCAAGCGUUGUUCGGAAUUACUGGGCGUAAAGGGCGCGUAGGCGGCCCUCUAAGUCAGACGUGAAAUCCCCCGGCUUAACCUGGGAACUGCGUCUGAUACUGGAGGGCUUGAGUAUGGGAGAGGGAUGUAGAAUUCCAGGUGUAGCGGUGAAAUGCGUAGAUAUCUGGAGGAAUACCGGUGGCGAAGGCGGCAUCCUGGACCAUUACUGACGCUGAGGCGCGAAAGCUAGGGGAGCAAACGGGAUUAGAUACCCAUGUAGUCCCUGAGCGGGCUGGCAAGGCGCAU
rnacentral:rRNA from 1 species